rnacentral:rRNA from 1 species
GUAAAUAAUAAAGGGCGUAUGGUGGAUGCCUAGGCUCUCGGAGGCGAUGAAGGACGUGAUAAGCUGCGAAAAGCUCCGUUUAGGUGCAAAUAACCUUUGAUGCGGAGAUCUCCGAAUGGGAAAACCCAAUAUGUUGAAGACAUAUUAUACCGUAAGGUAGGCAAACGCAGGGAACUGAAACAUCUAAGUACCUGCAGGAGAAGAAAACAAACGUGAUUCCCCCAGUAGCGGCGAGCGACCGGGGAUAAGCCCAAACCGUUAUUGUUUCGGCAGUAGCGGGGUAGUAGGACUGCGACAUUGAUGAAAUAAAUGAAAUGGAACACCUUGGAAAAUGUGAUCACAGAGGGUGAUAAUCCCGUACAUGCAAGUUUAUGAAUCAUAGCAGUAUCCUGAGUAAGUCGGGACACGUGUAAUCCUGACCGAAUCCGCCGGGACCAUCCGGCAAGGCUAAAUACUCCUGAGAGACCGAUAGUGAACCAGUACCGUGAGGGAAAGGUGAAAAGCACUUCGAACAGAAGAGUGAAAUAGUCCCUGAACCCAUACGCCUACAAGCAGUCGGAGCCGCUUCGUGCGGUGACGGCGUGCCUUUUGCAUAAUGAGCCUACGAGUUACUCAUCACCAGCGAGGUUAAGUACUUCAGGUACGUAAGCCGAAGCGAAAGCGAGUCUGAAUAGGGCGUCAAGUUGGUGGUGGUAGACGCGAAACCUUAGUGAUCUACCCAUGGGCAGGGUGAAGGUUUGGUAACACAAACUGGAGGCCCGAACCGGUAAACGUUGAAAAGUUUUCGGAUGACCUGUGGGUAGGGGUGAAAGGCCAAUCAAACUGGGAAAUAGCUCGUACUCUCCGAAAUGCAUUUAGGUGCAGCCUCUGUUGUUUUGUUCUAGAGGUAGAGCUACUGAUUGGAUGCGAGGGCUUCACCGCCUAUCAAAUCCGGCCAAACUCCGAAUGCUAGAACAUAAAGACAGGGAGUGAGCCAGCGGGUGCUAAGGUCCGUUGACGAAAGAGGGAGAACUCAGACCAUCAGCUAAGGUCCCCAAUUAUAUGCUAAGUUGGAAUAAAAACGGGGUGGGACUGCUUAGACAGCUAGGAUGUUGGCUUGGAAGCAGCCAUUCAUUUAAAGAGUGCGUAACAGCUCACUAGUCGAGCGGUCCUGCAUGGAUAAUACGCGGGCAUAAGCAUAUAACCGAAGCUAUGGGAUUGUAGAUGAUACAAUCGGUAGGAGAGCAUUCCAUUCAGCAUAGAAGCAGUAUCGUGAGGUAUUGUGGAGCGGAUGGAAAAGCAAAUGUAGGCAUAAGUAACGAUAAUGCGGGUGAGAACCCCGCACGCCGAAAGAUCAAGGAUUCCCCGGCAAUGUCAAUCAUCCGGGGGUAAGUCGGAUCCUAAGGGUAAGCCGAGUGGCGAUCCCGAUGGUAAACAGGUUAAUAUUCCUGUACUGAUCAUAACUGCGAUGCAGCGACGCAGAGGUGACACUGCUGCGUACUGACGGAAUAGUACGUUGAAACCCGUAUUCUUUGAUACCGGUAGUGAAGCACGCCGGUAGAGAUGAAAGGUGAUAGUACCGCAAUGCUUCGGUUGCGCGGAUAACGCAGGUAAGCUGACUGCCAAGAAAACCUGCUAAGCUUCAGGUAAUGAUCAUCCGUACUGUAAACGGACACACGUGAUCAGGUAGAAAAUACUAAGGCGCUCGAGAGAUUCAUGGUUAAGGAACUAGGCAAAAUGGUCCUGUAACUUCGGGAUAAAGGACGCUCUUGUGAAAGAGCCGCAGAUAAUAGGCCCAGGCGACUGUUUACCAAAAACACAUGGCUAUGCUAAUUCGCAAGAAGAUGUAUAUGGCCUGACACCUGCCCGGUGCCGGAAGGUUAAGAGGAGAGCUCAGAGGUAACUCGAAGGUUUGAAUUGAAGCCCCGGUAAACGGCGGCCGUAACUAUAACGGUCCUAAGGUAGCGAAAUUCCUUGUCGGGUA